UUUUCGUUCCCUCGAAGGUAAACUGAUCAUUAUCGAGUUUCAUGACUGAACCUUUGAACCUUGGAUGGAGCAAGUUUGCCGCGCAGUACUGUAAUCAGCAAAUUUUUGACUU